rnacentral:rRNA from 1 species
GACGAACGCUGGCGGCGUGCUUAACACAUGCAAGUCGAACGAAGAGCGAUGGAAGCUUGCUUCUAUCAAUCUUAGUGGCGAACGGGUGAGUAACGCGUAAUCAACCUGCCCUUCAGAGGGGGACAACAGUUGGAAACGACUGCUAAUACCGCAUACGAUCUAAUCUCGGCAUCGAGGAUAGAUGAAAGGUGGCCUCGACAUGUAAGCUAUCACUGAAGGAGGGGAGUGCGUCUGAUUAGCUAGUUGGAGGGGUAAGGGCCCACCAAGGCGAUGAUCAGUAGCCGGUCUGAGAGGAUGAACGGCCACAUUGGGACUGGGACACGGCCCAGACUCCUACGGGAGGCAGCAGUGGGGAAUCUUCCGCAAUGGACGAAAGUCUGACGGAGCAACGCCGCGUGAGCGAUGACGGCCUUCGGGUUGUAAAGCUCUGUUAAUCGGGACGAAAGGCCUUCUUGCGAAUAGUGAGAAGGAUUGACGGUACCGGAAUAGAAAGCCACGGCUAACUACGUG